GCGGCGGACGAGGGCAUCGCGGACGAGGGCAGAGACGUGAGGCCGCUCGGUGAGCAGCUGGUCGGCAUUGAACUGCGCAACGACAGAUUUAAGGACCUCGUUGCCGAUGGAAGGGAGGACUUUCUCGUCGUACUCGGUGCCAAGGGAGGUGAAGAUGGUGGGGAGGCGGGCGACGUCGGGGCGGGAGAGGAGGCGGAGGGUGAGGUUGACCAUCUGCAGGUCCUUGGUGCCGGAGUUGGAGGUGAAGGUGUGGGGACGAGUGCGGAUGUCGAAGAUGAAGGGUUUCUGCAGCCAGGGGACGAGAAAGUGAGUGCCCUCGCCCACCGUCUCCGGGAGCACGCCGCGGAAGCGGUCGAAGAGCACCGCCCGCUGGCCGCCGUCCACCGUAU
rnacentral:lncRNA from 1 species